rnacentral:rRNA from 1 species
UACGAGGGGGGCAAGCGUUGUUCGGAAUUAUUGGGCGUAAAGGGCGCGUAGGCGGUUUGACAAGUCUGAUGUGAAAUCUCUGGGCUAAACCCAGAGUCUGCAUUAGAAACUGUCGGGCUUGAGUAUGGGAGAGGUGAGUGGAAUUUCCGGUGUAGCGGUGAAAUGCGUAGAUAUCGGAAGGAACACCUGUGGCGAAAGCGGCUCACUGGACCAUAACUGACGCUGAGGCGCGAAAGCUAGGGGAGCAAACAGG